rnacentral:lncRNA from 1 species
UUGUGGCUAAAGUAACGUAAUAUGCAGAGGCAUGGUUCACUGCAUAUACGCUUAGGUCAUCUUAUGUCUAUGAUUCACUGAAUAAACGGUAAUUUGGCUCUGAUAUUUUGUGAUGAGAAAACAUCAAACAUAAAAACUGUGGCUUUGACAGGUCGUUCAUUUCUUAAAGUGGCUACCUAUUGGCAGCUGUAGGCAGCAACAAACACAUUCAUCAUGGGUGGUUCUCAGUACUUCUCCUAACAAUGAGUCAAAGCACUUCCUUAUACUCUCUCUUUGCGGAGAUGGAGUCACCAAGUUUGGUUCUUCUAAGCUGUUUCCUGAUACAAUGCUACGGGUCUACUCAUUUUCAUUACCUAAAGAAAGGGGAGGAGGUUACACUGUCCUGUGAAACAUGUCAAUGGGAGGCUGAUGUGGAUUCAGACAACAGAGUGGACUGCAGUGUCAUAGACAGUAUUUAUACCAUGAACUCAGACUGCCCUGCUGAAAGACAUGGUCUAUGCCAAGAGAUAAAGAGAAACAAAUCCACCAGUUGUGAAAUCCGUGUAAAGAGGGGAUUCUUUGCCUGUGUCAAUGCUGUAUCUGACUCCUGCUUCAUGCAUCCAUUCAAACCCUCUUCUCAUCAUGUGGAGUCCUUCAUUGUUGCUCAGGCAGAACGACAUUGUGUCUGGACCUGUAAUGGAAAACUCAGUGCUUGUGUCUGGAGGAGAAUCAAUUCAUCUGACGUGCACUUUUAAAAUAAAAGGGAGAUCACACACAUCAAGACCCUUCCUUGAUGAUAACAACAUCCAUAACCUGAAGAUCAGCAAUGCCACUCAGUCAGACCGUGGACAGUAUCUGUGUGUCUUACAGGUGAACAUAUAUAACCAGCAGUACUGGGCAGUAAUAACCAACACUACAGUCAUUGUGGAUAAUCCUGAUUCCUAUCUCAUCUAUGUGAUUGGUGUAUUAGUACCCGUUCUUCUCCUCCUCCCUGUCAUCAUCAUCAUCAUCAUCAUCAUACUGCUUAAAAGGAAAUCAGCUGAGACAAAAGUGUCUCAAACUGCAAUAACUCAAAGAUUUCAGAACGGGGAGGAAGUGGAUGACGACGACUGUUCCCCUUAUGCGAUGGGCCAGGGAGAGCAGGAACCAACGUACUCACUCAUUCAGCUGACCAAUCAGAAGACUGACCCUGUGUUCAGUGGGGAUGGAGAACUCGCUUCAGACCCAUCAGCAGAUGAGGGCAUCAUGAGGAAGAACUCCAUAUAUGAAACCUCAGGUCCAUAGUCUCAACUGCCUGCCAGUUUCUUGCAGUGUGAGUUCCUGCAUAAAGACCAAGAUUACAUGAUCGGCCUGUUUAUAACCAGGCCUGUAAAUAACCGCAUUAGUCCUGUUUCAGUUAAAAUGAGGAAGGAACUCUCGCUGUCACAACUUCCUGACUGAAACCUAAAAUUUCCCCAGAUUGCUUUGUUUGUGGGCUUAUCCCACAGCUGUCAUUUCAGUUAUAGAAUAGAUAAAUAUGACUAUUGUUGUGAUUUGUUGGAUAGUCAUUUCUAAUGUUGGUACUUUGAGCCAAUAUGCUAGAGGUUGUUCAAAUGUGUUUGCAUGUGUUGUUUGUAAAUAAGCCAAACUGAUAAAUGAACUAAUUAAACUGUAAAUUAAAAAAGUCAGUCUUGAAGGAAAGGGGGCAUUUGUUUUUGUAGUUUCACAGAUACACCCAGUUUACCAGUUAAUAUGGUGAAGCAACUCUCGGUUUCACACAGUAAGCAUUGUGUGUAGUUUUUUUAGCACUCCCAAAAUACUCUGAAAGAGUCAACUUUUCUUUUUAAAGUCACUCAUUCUCUACAUAUUUUUCUGGUCUGUACAAGUUAACUGGUAACCCUCAGUUAGUCUAAAGAGAGCGACCUGUUUAUUACACUGAGGGUCUACAGAACCAAAACGAUCUACUGUCCAUUGCAAAGUAUUGCUUCCAUGUUUUUUACGGCAGUCUACUUUAGGUGACGUUGCUGGGCUCCCCACUAGAUGGAGCUAUUGUGCUAUACAUUUCACCUUAAUGUAGAUAUUAAUAUGACUAUAAGGUAAGCUGUUUCAAAUACAUCGAAAGAUUAGGCUACUUCAAUACACGUCGGCGUAAAAUUAUAUAACUGAAAUGACAUAGCUAAAUAUGCAUGAACAUUUUGUUAUAGGAGCAGUCACAGACCUUAGAAGUGAGGCAGACAUUGUAAUGCUCCAAGAAGCUCACUGAUCUGAAUUGGAUGUCAAAUUUUGGAGAUCACAAUGGGGAAAU